ACGAACCCUCUCCACCACCUCAUUUUUCGUCCUCCCUCCAUCGACCCAACCACACAGCACACUCCAGAAAAAAACCACACAGCACACCCAUAGACCAUCCUUCCGACCAGAGCUUCCUCCCGGACAACAGGGUGCCGCGCGGCCUGGCAGCAACCCCACCUCGCCGCCAACCCCCGGGCUGUAGAUCUCAUACGGCACCACCUCCUUCCCACGCGCCGCUUGAGUCCGCGCCGAGCCGACUGCUCCGAAGUCCGAACGCGAUGGAGGCGAGCUCCGGUGUAGCCCCCCGCAGCCGUUGCCCCGGGGCUUCUGCGCCUCCCACCCCCCGCCUCGCCUCCUCCCCUCCGGUAGACCGCACCAGGCUGCUUCUUCUGAAAUUCUCGUGUGGAAGAAUUUGAGACCUGUACUGAGGAGGCCUCCCUUUUCCGAUCUGGAUUUGUUUCGUCUCCUUUUUUCUGAUCUGGAAAGAUUUACUUUGAGGGGAUUUUACGUACAUGGUGUUCUCCAAAUCCAGAUCCAAUUUGUCAAUUUUUCUAAUGUUUCACUCUCUCUUUAAUGAUACUCACAUUGAUCCGCAAUCCCCUCUUUUUCCUUUUCUGAAUAUGUGCAUUUUUAUCUGUUGCAAAGAUGCUGCUGAAAUUCUUUGGUUGUUGACUGUGGAUGGCCAAGCCCCUCGUUGUAUUGUCUCGAGCAAGGGAGAGCAGGAGAAUCAACAAUAUCAGCGGCACAAUUCGCGCAUGUACUAGAGCAGGUUGAUGCCACGGGGAAGGAGGCGGCGCUAGGACGCGGGCGAUCGCCGGAGAAGGAGGUGCCACCAGGAGUUUGGGCGGGGAGGAUGUGGUUGAAUGGAUCGUACCGAACAAGAGGGGAGGGGGGUGAAUGGCGCUACGACAAGUUUUAGCCUUUUUCAAUUUUUAGUGCAACGGAAGGUAAAGGUGAUAGCUUUA